CUGGGUGUCUGUAGUGGUCCUUUAACCCCUUAAGGACACAUGACAUGUGUGACAUGUCAUGAUUCCCUUUUAUUCCAGAAGCUUGGUCCUUAAGGGGUUAAGUGUGUGUGCAUACCGCGGUCGCGGGGUCCCAUGUGUUGCAGCCCCGACCCGCGCCGAGUAAGCGCAGGGGUGGGCCCACGGAUCAAUUUUCGCACCGAUGGCCCCAUUGGUCAUGUGUACGCCACUGUCUAGGCCCUUACGAUCUGCUGAAGACUUAAGUCUAUCUUCUGUCCGUACUCCCACCUCUGAUGCUCGUCUUCAAGAUUUCUCGAGGGCUGCACCGUUCCUGUGGAACUCGCUUCCCUCCUCCGUUAGAUGCUCACCCAGUCUCCACUCCUUCAAAAAUUCGUUAAAAACCCACUUCUUCAUAAAAGCGUAUCAAUUAAAGUGUUAAUAGCUCCUGACUGAUUCUUCUUCUGCAACUGUCAUUCGUCUAAUACUAUCCUUACCUUUUUGUGUCAUUUUACCCCACUCCCUCUAGCAUGUAAGCUCAUUGAGCAGGGCCCUCAACUCCUCUGUUCCUGUGUGUCCAACUUGUCUUUUUACAACUACAUGUCUGUUCGUCCACCCAUUGUAAAGCGCUGCGGAAUUUGACUGUGCUCUAUAAAUAUCAUAAUAAUAAUAAUAAUAAGCAAACAGGAGUAAUUAUGUAGACCUCUGGGGUCGAG